rnacentral:tRNA from 1 species
AGUUUAUUAGGAUAAAUAAUCCAUUGAUUUGUGGUAUCAAAAAUAUCUUAUAGAUAUAGACUC